UUGACCUCAAAUCAGGUAGGACUACCCGCUGAACUUAAGCAUAUCAAUAAGCGGAGGAAAAGAAACUAACAAGGAUUCCCCUAGUAACUGCGAGUGAAAGCGGG
rnacentral:rRNA from 1 species